AAUAUUGCACAAUGGAGGGAACUCUGAUGCAGCAACGCCGCGUGAGUGAAGAAGGUUUUCGGAUCGUACACCUCUGUCCUUGGGGACGAAGGAUGUGACGGUACCCAAGGAGGAAGCUCCGGCUAACUACGUGCCAGCAGCCGCGGUAAUACGUAGGGAGCGAGCGUUGUCCGGAAUUACUGGGCGUAAAGGGUGCGUAGGCGGCAUGGCAAGUCAGAUGUGAAAGCCCCGGGCUUAACUCGGGAACUGCAUUUGAAACUGCUGUGCUUGAGUGCAGGAGAGGAAAGCGGAAUUCCUAGUGUAGCGGUGAAAUGCGUAGAUAUUAGGAGGAACACCAGUGGCGAAGGCGGCUUUCUGGACUGCAACUGACGCUGAGGCACGAAAGCGUGGGGAGCAAAC
rnacentral:rRNA from 1 species